AACUCUCAACCCCGCCUUGAUUCAGUUCGAGGUUGCUUUGGGUUUGGAUCAUGACCUGUUGCUGACGGUUUCCGUCGGCUGGGUUGAAAAGCAUCAAGCUGAAUCCCUAUUCAUGCGGCUUGACCUGUUGUUGUAAGCAUCCAACUUUCAACGGGAACGCAUGUGGGCAGGAGCUUUACCAAAUGGAUGAACCAUUGGGUCUUUUAUUAGGCUUCAGUGCA
rnacentral:misc_RNA from 1 species